UGGAGUUGCGCUUCUAUACUUUCAAAAGCACGUGGGGAGCUUUUAUAUUUGUAACUUUUUAACCGCUGGAUUAUCUCAAAAUUUAUACAAUAUUCACAUAAUAAAGUAUCCCAUUAAGUUUUCUAUAGUAAUACCGUACGAAUUUUAAGACAGUUCGACAGUUAAAAAAUUACAAGCAUAGAUGUUUCUAUACUUUUAAAAGUACUGAAGCUCAACUCAAAAAUCAUGAGUUUAAAGAAACUAUUUACUUGCACCAUACAGUCUUAAAAAUUAAAAGUAC
rnacentral:lncRNA from 1 species